rnacentral:rRNA from 1 species
CGUUAACCAAUGUCAAUCGUUUCAAAUCUCCCUUCACGGGAAUGAGCGGAAUUAGUAUUCGGAGUUCGUUGAAAGGGCCUGAUUCGUCAGGUGAACUCGUGCUAAGCAUAUUCUAGAUCGAAAGGUUUAGUUAUGACGCUGUAUCUGCAGUGAAGAUUAAAUCUCGCACAGGGCCCACCUUACUGGGGAACUGUAAGAGAAACCUAUUAACUUAUUUAACCUUUUUGCUAGUUGACUUUUAUAUGUUGUUCUGUUCACCGUUUAUUCUGUGCAGUUCACACGUUUAAUUAUUUGAACGUUAAAAAUACAACUCUUAGCAAUGGAUAUCUUGGUUCUCGCAACGAUGAAGAACGCAGCGAAAUGCGAUACGUAAUGCGAAUUGCAGAAUUCAGUGAAUCAUCAAAUCUUUGAACGCAAAUUGCGCUCCUGGGUAGCCCUAGGAGCACGCCUCUCUCAGUAUCGGUUCAACAGUAUAUCAGCAGCGUGUUUGGAAAUUAAUUUUUCUAGAUGCGUGUUGGCUGGAGAAUGAGAGUCUGUUCGCUUGCGGGCAGUCUCUUUAAGUACAUGGAGUUAAUUAGAAACUUUUCGAUCAGUUCAGUGCUUCGGCGCUGAUAGUCAGUCUUCAAACUGUUGUUCGUUAGUGACGUGAAUAUUGAUCCUCGUGAUCUAACUUUUACGUUUAUCUAACUUAUAACUUAUAGUUAGUUGAUCGGUGAACGUUUGAGAAAUCUGAUUGACGUGAGAAAACCAUAUGAUUAGUUUCUUUAAUUUAAUUAUUAAAGGGCGAGUCUGAAUUUUGAUCUGAGAUGAAGUGAGACAACCCCCUGAAUUUAAGCAUAUUAAUAAGGGGAGGAAAAGAAACUAACAAGGAUUCCCCCAGUAACGGCGAGUGAAGCGGGAAGAGCUCAAUUUGAAAAUCGAUUUCCUCAACGGGAC